AUCUCCUAGGGAACAGGGCGAGGCUAUGAUUUACUGCCAGAUGUUAGCUGCUGGACUCUGGCCAGGGUGUGUUAUUACCUCUACAGCUCAGAACACUGAAGCCACAUCACGAAGAGGCUCGGGAACCAGAGGCAGGAACCGCAGCUCAGUCAGUGGGGAAACAAGACGGGAUUGAACUCUGACCAGAAGGACUUUUAUAUCAGCCCAGAACACUGAAGCCACUUCACUGAGAGGCUCGGGAACCAAAGGCAGGAACCGCAGCUCAGUCAGCGGGGAGACAAGAAGCCCAGAGCACUGAAGCACAUCACUGAGACACUCAGGAACCAGAGGCAGGAACCGCAGCUCAGGCAGCGGGGAUUCAAGACGGUCAGAACACUGAAGCCACUUCACUUAGAGGCUCGGGAACCAAAGGCAGGAACCGCAGCUCAGUCAGCGGGGAGACAAGAAGCCCAGAACACUGAAGCUACAUCACUGAGAGGCUCGGGAACCAGAGGCAGGAACCGGAGCUCAGUCAGCGGGGAGACAAGACGGGAACAGGGCGAGGCUGUGAUUUACUGCCCGCCGUUAGUUGCUGGACUCUGACCAGUGUGUGUUAUUACAUGUACAG